UGCAAGUCGAGCGGUAGCUCCUAUGAGUUAAAAGCUUAUAGGAGUGAGAGCGGCGCACGGUGAGUAACGCGUAGGUAACCUACCCCAGAGAGGGGGAUAACACCUCGAAAGGGGUGCUAACCCCCAUAUACUUACCGAGCGUAAUAGCUCAGGUAAGGAAAGAGUAUAAGGAGGUACUCCUUAUGCUGCUCUGGGAUGGGCCUGCGGCCUAUCAGCUAGUUGGUGGGGUAACGGCCACCAAGGCUAAGACGGGUAGCCGGCCUGAGAGGGUGGUCGGCCACACUGGGACUGAGAACGGCCCAGACUCCUACGGGAGGCAGCAGCCGGGAAUCUUCCGCAAUGGGGGAAACCCUACGGAGCGACGCCGCGUGAGGGAAGAAGCCCUUCGGGGUGUAAACCUCUUUUCUCGGGGAGAAAGCUGACGGUACCCGAGGAAAAAGCCCCGGCUAACUACGUGCCAGCAGCCGCGGUAGACGUAGGGGGCGAGCGUUGUCCGGAUUUACUGGGCGUAAAGGGCGUGUAGGCGGCUUGCAAGUCAGAUGUGGAAGCCCUGAGCUCAACUCAGGGAGGUCAUCUGAUACUGCUAAGCAGAGGGCAGGAGAGGAGGGCGGAACUUCCGGUGUAGCGGUGAAAUGCGUAGAUAUCGGAGGAACGCCGGUGG
rnacentral:rRNA from 1 species